UACACUCGCUUAAGAAAAAACUGGGAUGCUUUCAUCACACCUUGGUUCUUCACGUGAGAAAUUAAACCUAAGUGAAGAUUUUAGAAAUUUCUCUUUUUCAUCAUCGACACCCUAAACCUAAACGCUCUUUUCAUCGACGGCACCCCCUCCCUGAUUGAUACCCAUGCCUUUUAUCCUUUCUGAUCCCUACGUCUUCUUUGCCUGUGAUUUUUAGGUAUAAUUGACCAACUACUUUGUUUUGUUUGUUGCAGAAAUUAAUGAAAUUCAAGGGUUUGUGGUCGCUGUUGGGUGAAUGAAUUGAACAGGGAACUGAAUUUCCUCCAUGAAAUAGGUUGAGGAAGAAUUGGUUUCUCAAGAUUAGGGUUCUGAUUUUUCUUUUACAGAAGUAGGUAGAUAUGUACAUAUUACUGAAUUAAGGUUUGUAAAUAGGAUAUAAUCAUGUCCACUACAGGUACUGUAUCUGUUCAUUUCCACCCAAUUGCUAAAACUUGUGGUUCUGAAAAUGAUAAAUUCAGUGUGAUACAUCCAAAAUUGGAGUUUCCAAGGAGCAAAUUUCUCAGAUUCAAUCUUUGCUCAACCAAUAAUACUCGAAAGGGAUGUGUUGGGAGAGUAAGUGUUGUACCAGAAGAUGAAGAUUUUUUUUGGGAGAAAGCGUUAACGCCUUUACUUCAUAUGGUUGAGACUCCGGUGCAUUUGAAGAAUUUGUCUAUCAAGGUUUUGGUUUAUGAAUUUUUGAGUCUGGAGCUAUGUAGGUUGAAGUUCUUUUACUAACUAGAGAUGAUUACGAUGUAUGAGUUAAAACAAUUAGCUGAUGAGAUCCGUUCAGAGUUAUCUUUUAUAACGUCGAAGAUGCCUCGACACUUCAAAGCCAGUCUAGCAACAGUGGAGCUGACCGUUGUGUUACAUCAUGUUUUUGAUUCUCCAACGGAUAAGAUACUGUGGGAUGUGGGUCAAUAGAUAGGAAUUUACUUUAUCAUGUUCUUGGGCUGAAUUUCAGCUGAAAUAUGUGCUGCUGUGAUUGAAUUUCUGUGGUUGUUUACAGGAUUUGAGUUGGGUUUGUAUGGAUAGCAACAUGGCCUGAACUGGUCACUUAAUGAUAUCAUGACAAUGCAUCUAUGUAUAAGGUAUGGUCCCUUUUAGCAUGCUGGUCACUUAAUGAUAUCACGAGCUCGCACUUUGAAUGGCAGGAGUUCCAAUACCUCACGUAUAGCCUUAUAGCUAAGCAAUAACAUCUUUCGUACCUUAAUUAUUUGAAGUACGAGACAUGCCGAGACCAGUGUGAAAAUCCUAAGUCGCUUAAAUGUAGCCGUUCGGUUUCUACAAAAACUUCAAUCACUGAAUUGUAAGUUGGACGCAAUGACUUCUUGGUUAGUCUCAUUUUUUACUUUCAUUUAGUCUUAAUCGAUUCAUAUUUUUUGGCGAAAAAAAAAAGGUUACCAUAUUGUAUUUAAAUGACAUCUGCUUAAAUGAGUUCUAGGGUAGAUCAUAGGUAUAAUGUUGUCAUUGUUGAGAAGUUAAUUUUUUUUACUGGAAAUCAUAUUUUUCCUUACAAUCUCAUUACCUCAACUUGACAAAUUUGACGCAUAAGUGCAGUUCAUUUACACAACCUGAAUGAUAUAGAUUAAUGAAGAAUCAACUCAGCAGCAAGUGAAGCAGCUUACAACAAGCAUAUCCGGUGCUCUAAGAAAAGGAUUGAGCUUGGAUUUAAAAUCAGAACGGGCAUAAUGGUUCAUGCUACCUACUAUGGAAUCGGAAAUGAUAAUUUGGGGAACAAGGAUGGAGCUGAUGCUGAAGAUAAUGAUAUUGGAAUAGAAAGCACCUCUGCAGUUUAUAGGAUCGGUGGUAGUGGCUACAAUGAGGUAGAAUCAAUCGCAGCUGAAGUUAAUGUGAAUGGUGUUAAGUAGAGAACUCCAUUGUGAGGAAAAUGAAUGAUAAAAAUGAUUCAACUCAAAUUACAGAUGAUGUUAAUGCUGCGGAAGUUGUUUUGGAAAGGCUAAGAGAGGUGUGGAUUCCACUAUAGCUAAUUCCCAAGUGUUUUCUCAAACAAGGAAAUGAGAAAUGAUUGAGAACGAGAAGAGAUUAAGCCCACAAAAUACUAAGCCCAGUGAUGACUGUGCAAUAUAGGCCCAUUUUAUAAACCAUCGGCAGUUUUUGGCACCGAACACUAGCAUCAAGGCAAUGUCUUUUGAGAUACAUUACUUAUGCUGGUGUCCGAAAUUAGAUUGGAAAGCAAAGGCCAUUAAUUCUUUAGGUUUUUCAUUUCCGACAUUAAUCUGUUGUUCCAAACCAAAAUAAUAUCUUUAAUCACACCAGAUAUUGGGGUACACACAAAUUUAUUGGUAUGUUGCAUUGCCUAUAGCCAUUAAUGGCUUUUAUUAUCA